UUCUUUGCCAGAAAUUAGGUAAUUUUUUAUUUCUUUUCUACGAAGACCAAAAAAUGAACAUGAAAGAUAGUUAGAAUAUAUUUGGCUUGACUACAGAGAUAGAAAUGAUGCUAAAUAAUUUAACAGGAAACUUAGGACCGUAAGAAUAAGCUACUAAAGAACAUUAUGUCAAGCACAAACAAGUGAGGAUACAAUGAGAAGAUGGCAGCCUGCGCCGUAGAAGAGGAUGCUCGCCACAACCCAACCACGCUGGCACCCUGAUCUUAAGCUCCCAGACUCCGUAACGGCCAAGCCCAUUUAGAAGAAAAGCACAUUCAUUUGGGUUUUGUGGUUUGGAGAAAGGACUGCCAGAGAGGAGGUGAAAGCCACAGUGGAGCAUUCCUGGACAAUCCAUUGCAGGCUUGGGAGAUCACCAUGCAGGCAGCUCCUGCUCCAUAAUAGCCAAAAUAGCAACAUGACCACAAAUAAUUCAAAGGCUGAAACAUUUUGUUCCCACCAGUUCAAACUCUCCUGCUUCUGUCAAAUGGCUGGUAAUCCUAUCUCCUCUACUAAGCCUUUCCUAAAUGAAACAGUGGCAACUCCUUUUGAAUUCUACUAUUUAUUACAUAAACACACAAUUCCCGUGGUUCCCUUAUCACUCCAUUAAAUGCACUUGCCCUCUGAUUGAAACACAAUGCAAAUCCUUUUAUGCUACAUUUGUUCAAUGCUUGUUGCCUUGACUGUAUAUAGCCUUAAUAUCCGGUAGGUGCUUCUAACUUAUUGUAAGUUCCACAUCUAAUUCACAAAGUAUUUUGCUUAGCAAUGCCUCUUAUGAUGCAAAUAAACUAGUAUUUAUCACGAGUGCUUUAGGAUACAGACAAGAAGACUAUUUUAGAGAAAAUAAGAAUUAAAUAAUGGUAAGGAAAGCAAACCACCCCUGCGAUGUGCAUGCUCUCCACCACCACCCCUUUUCCCUCCCUGGAUGGUGUCUCACUCUCCACCUCCUUUUUGUCACUUGUCCUUGGUCACACAUCAAUCUGCCCUCAGCCCUCCAGAGAAGACUUAUUCUUCCUGCCUGAAAUGUUAUUUCUCCCUUGUUCAUCUAACCUUGUUCCUUUUUAUUAAGUGCUUUAUAUAUACGGAAGACUACAUAAAUUAUGUCUUCACGUUAAAUAAUAGUAAUACAAUGAACACCUGUGCAUCCACUUUAAGAAAUAGAAUGUAUCUUUGAAGUCUUUGUGUGUACUGUCAUGCUCGUGUCCUUCCACAUUCCAAGGUAACCAUAUUCCUAGUUUAGUGUUAAUCACUGUCUUGUGGGUUAGUCCAAGUCUUGCUAUUCUUUAGAGUUUUACUACCUAUUUCUCCCUAACAAUACAUAUAUUUAGUUUGAAAAAAAACUCAGAGCAAUCGCAAGCCUAGUGGAGUAAGAGAAAGAUCAACAUUGACACUAAGAGAGGACAUGUCCCAGAAGAUGAGCUAACAGAGGCUCUCCGUUACAGCAUGGCUUCAGUUUCCCCAGGAGUUUACAAAAGUCAUUUGCAGGGAAGUCAGAAGGAGAGAGACUGGGGAUGUCGGGCUCUCUAAGACAGGGCAUUGGGGUGGUCUGUGAAUGUGAGUCUGGAGCUGGAGGUCUCCAACCAUAAGGACAUGAGAGGUGGCAGCUCUGCCUUCUCCACUUCUGAGUUCACCACAGCCCACCUCCUGCUCUUCAGAGUAGGUGGAAGAUCACCCUCUUUUGCCCCAUCUGAAGAAGAAACUCCAGAUUACUAAUGGGAAGCUGAAGGGCAGUCAGCCAGGCUGACUCUAAGUUGUCCUUCAAAAUGUAGCUCAGGGUUUCCUCUUCCAGCAGAACUUUUCUGACACCCACAUGCAAUGACCAGGGUCAACCUUUUAACCCCCUGUGCACUCUGUGCUAACCCCUAUCAACAGCUCUCCCUCCUACUGCUGUCCCUCUUCCUUAUUAAACUGGAUGUUCUUCGAGGGAAUAAAUUAUCUUAUCAAUUUUACUAAUAAUAACAGUAUCAUCUGAUAUUUGCUUUAUUUUAUAAAUGUGGACAAACCUCAUUAACAUUAAAUACCAAGAUUUAAAAAUUGUAAGGCAGAAUAUGUGUUCUUGUUACUCCGAAUUUAUUGGAAAUAAAGAAUUUUGAGUGUCUCUUCUAUUAAAGAA
rnacentral:lncRNA from 1 species